GACGAACGCUGGCGGCGUGCUUAACACAUGCAAGUCGAACGGAAAGGCCCUGCUUUUGUGGGGUGCUCGAGUGGCGAACGGGUGAGUAACACGUGAGUAACCUGCCCUUGACUUUGGGAUAACUUCAGGAAACUGGGGCUAAUACCGGAUAGGAGCUCCUGCUGCAUGGUGGGGGUUGGAAAGUUUCGGCGGGUGGGGAUGGACUCGCGGCUUAUCAGCUAGUUGGUGGGGGAGUGGCUUACCAAGGCUUUGACGGGUAGCCGGCCUGAGAGGGUGAACGGGCACAAGGGGACUGCGAGACGGACCAGACGGCAACGGGAGGCAGCAGUGGGGAGUAUUGCACAAUGGGACGAAGUCUGAUGCAGAAGCGCCGCGUGCGGGAUGACGGCCUGCGGGUUGUGAACCGCUUUCGCCUGUGACGAAGCGUGAGUGACGGUAAUGGGUAAAGAAGCACCGGCUAACUACGUG
rnacentral:rRNA from 1 species